rnacentral:rRNA from 1 species
GACGAACGCUGGCGGUGUGCUUCACACAUGCAAGUCGAACGAGGUAGCAAUACCUAGUGGCGGACGGGUGAGUAACGCGUGGGAAUCUGCCUUUAGAUGGGGGAUAACGAGCCGAAAGGUUCGCUAAUACCGCAUAGGUCGCAAGAUUAAAGGAGUAAUCCGUCUAGAGAUGAGCCCGCGUCCGAUUAGCUAGUUGGUAGGGUAAAGGCCUACCAAGGCGACGAUCGGUAGCUGGUCUGAGAGGAUGAUCAGCCACACUGGAACUGAGACACGGUCCAGACUCCUACGGGAGGCAGCAGUGGGGAAUUUUGCGCAAUGGACGAAAGUCUGACGCAGCAACGCCGCGUGGGUGAUGAAGGUCUUCGGAUUGUAAAACCCUGUCGUCAGGGACGAAGGGUGGGGCGUGAAUAGCGUUCUACUUUGACGGUACCUGGAAAGGAAGCCCCGGCUAACUCUGUG